rnacentral:lncRNA from 1 species
AUAAUAGUUCGUUUCUGUGUUUGUUACAUUUUAAUGUUGUAUUUCUGUUGUGUCGUAGUUUUCCUCUUAUAUUUGAUGCGUUUCCCUAAGUUUUAGUUUGUAACCCGGAUUUGUUUUUAUUUCUCGAUUUAUGAAUUUCGAACUGCGGUAUACUACUGUUGCCUUUACUAAACACCCGGUAGAUGUAGGGCCAGAUGAAAUGUCAUAUAUAUAUAUAUAUAUAUAUAUAUAUAUAU